GUAACGCGUGGGUAACCUGCCUCAUACAGGGGGAGUAACAGUUAGAAAUGGCUGCUAAUACCGCAUAAGACCACAGUACUGCAUGGUACAGUGGUAAAAACUACCGGUGGUAUGAGAUGGACCCGCGUCUGAUUAGGUAGUUGGUGAGGUAACGGCCCACCAAGCCGAUGAUCAGUAGCCGGUCUGAGAGGAUGAACGGCCACACUGGAACUGAGACACGGUCCAGACUCCUACGGGAGGCAGCAUG
rnacentral:rRNA from 1 species